GGGGCUGUAACUCAGUGGUAGAGUGUUCGCUUUGCAUUGCCCUAAUCUUCGGAUUGGAUAUGAUCUUAUAUGCGAAAAGCCCAGGGUUCGAUCCCCUGCCGCUCCA
rfam:Pseudogymnoascus pannorum VKM F-4515 (FW-2607) contig_1375, whole genome shotgun sequence.